rnacentral:misc_RNA from 1 species
AUUGAUGUUUCUCUUUCAGGUGAGACGAUAGCUCUGUGCGAGCUACAAUGCGAUCUUCUCCCUCACAAAUUCUACUUUGUAAGUUACUUUCUUUUAAUACAGUGAAAAUUUUGCUUUUUGUAAAUUUGAUAUUUUACUAAUUGAUGGUUCUCUUUCAGGUGAGAAGAUAGCUCUGUGCGAGCUACAAUGCAAACUACGCACUCACAAAUAUUUUUUUGUAAGUUACUGUCUAUUAUUACAGUGAAAUUUUUACCUUUUGUAGUUUUGAUGUUUUGCUAAUUGAUUCUUCUCUUUCAGGUGAACGAUAGCUCUGUGCGAGCUACAAUGUGAUCUACGCGCUGUAAAAUUCUACUUUGUAAGUUACUUUCUGCUAAUACAGUGAAAAAAUUACUUAUUGUAGAUUUGAUAUUUUACUAAUUGAUGAAUCUGUUUCAGGUGACACGAUAGGUCUGUGCGAGGUGCAAUGCCAUCUACGCGCUCAAAAAUUCUACUUUGUAAGGCACUUUCUUUUGAUACAGUGAAAAUUUUACUUUUUGUAGAUUUGGUAUUUUACUAAUUGAUGGUUCUCUUUCAGGUGAGACGUAAGCUCUGUGUGGGCUACAUUGUGAUCUACGCCCUCACAAAUUCUACUUUGUAAGUUACUUUCUUUUAAUACACUUAACAUUUUACUUUUUGUAGAUUUGAUAUUUUACUAAUUGAUGGUCCUCUUUUAGGUGAGACGUUACCUCUGUGCAAGCUAUAUUGUCAUAUACGCCCUCACAAAUUCUACUUUGUAAGUUACUUUCUUUUAAUACAGUGAUAAUUUUAGUUCUUGUAGAUUAGAUAUUUUACUAAUUGGUGGUUCUCUUUCAGGUGAGACUUUAGCUCUGUGCGGGCUACAUUGUGAUCUACGCCCUCACAAAUUCUACUUUGUAAGUUACUUUCUUUUAAUACAGUGAAAAUGUUACCUUUUGUAAUUUUGUUUUUUUACUAAUUGAUGGUUCUGUUUCAGGCGACACAAUAGCGCUGUGCGAGCUUCAAUGCGUUCUUCGCCCUCGCCAAUUCUACUUUGUAAGUUACUUUCUUUUAAUACACUGAUAAUUUUAGUUCUUGUAGAUUUGAUAUUUUACUAAUUGGUGGUUCUUUUUCAGGUGAGACGUUAGCUCUGUGCGAGCUAUAAUGCUAUCUACGCCCUCACAAAUUCUACUUUGUAAGUUACUUUCUUUUAAUACAGUGAAAAUGUUACCUUUUGUAAUUUUGUUUUUUUACUAAUUGAUGGUUCUGUUUCAGGCGACACAAUAGCGCUGUGCGAGCUUCAAUGCGUUCUUCGCCCUCGCCAAUUCUACUUUGUAAGUUACUUUCUUUUAAUACACUGAUAAUUUUAGUUCUUGUAGAUUUGAUAUUUUACUAAUUGGUGGUUCUUUUUCAGGUGAGACGUUAGCUCUGUGCGAGCUAUAAUGCUAUCUACGCCCUCACAAAUUCUACUUUGUAAGUUACUUUCUUUUAGUACAGUAAAUAUUUUACUAUUUGUAGAUUUGAUAUUUUACUAAUUGGUGGUUCUCUUUCAGGUGAGACGUUAGCUCUGUGCGAGCUACAAUGCCAUCUACGGCCUCACAAAUUCUACUUUGUAAGUGACUUUCUUUUAAUACACUGAUAAUUUUAGUUUUUAGAUUUGAUAUUUUACUAAUUGAUGGUUCUCUUUCAGGUGAGACGUAAGCUCUGUGUGGGCUACAUUGUGAUCUACGCCCUCACAAAUUCUACUUUGUAAGUUACUUUCUUUUAAUAAACUUAACAUUUUACUUUUUGUAGAUUUGAUAUUUUACUAAUUGAUGGUCCUCUUUUAGGUGAGACGAUAGCUCUGUGUGAGCUGCAAUGCGAUCUACGCCCUCACAAAUUCUAUUUUGUGAGUUACUUUCUUUUAGUACAGUGCAACUUUUAUUUUUUCUCGUUUUGAUAUUUUACUGAUUGAUGCUUCUCUUUCAGGUGACACGAUAGCUCUGUGCGAGCUGAAAUGCAACCAACACCCACAUAAAUUCUACUUUGUAAGUUACUUUCUUUUAAUACAGUGAAAAUUUUGCUUUUUGUAAAUUUAAUAUUUUACUAAUUGAUGGUUCUCUUUCAGGUGAUACGAUAGCUCUGUGCGAGCUACAAUGCGAUCUUCGCCCUCACAAAUUCUACUUUGUAAGUUACUUUCUUUGAAAAGAGUGAAAAUUUUACUUUUUGUAGAUUUGAUAUUUUACUAAUUGGUGGUUUUCUUCUAGGUGAGACGAUAGCUCUGUGCGAGCUACAAUGCGAUCUUUGCCAUCACAAUAUCUACUUCGUAAGUUACUUUCUUUUAAUACACUGAAUAUUUUAUUUUUUGUAAUUGUGCUAUUUUACUAAAGGGUGGUUCUGUUUCAGGUGACACGAUAGCGCUGUGCGAGCUACAAUGCGAUCUACGCCCACACAUAUUCUACUAUGUAAGUUAGUUUCUUUUAAUACAGUGAAAAUGUUACAUUUUGUUAUUUUGCUAUUUUACUAAUUGAUGGUUCUCUUUCAGGUGAGACGUUAGCUCUGUGCGAGCUACAAUGCGAUCUUCGCCCUCACAAAUUCUACUUUGUAAGUUACUUUCUUUUAAUACAGUAAAAAUUUAUUUUUUGUACAUUUGAUAUUUUACUAAUUGAUGGUUCUCUUUCAGGUGAGACGUUGGCUCUGUACGAGCUACCAUGCGAUCUACGCCCUCACAAAUUCUACUUUGUAAGUUACUUUCUUUUAAUACAUCAGUAUUACAGCCUAUACAGUCCACUGCUGGACAUAGGCCUCCACAAGUUUACGCCAAAAAUAACGUGAACUCGUGUGUUUUGCCCAUAGUCACCACGCUGGGUAGGCAGGUUGGUGACCGCAGUACUGGCUUUGUCGCACCGAAGACGCUGCUGCCCGUCUUCGGCCUGUGUAUUUCAAAGCCAGCAGUUGGAUGGUUAUUCCGCCAUCGGUCGGCUUCUUAAGUUCCAAGGUGGUAGUGGAACCUUGUUAUCCCUAAGUCGCCUCUUACGACACCCACGGGAAGAGAGGGGGUGGCUAAAUUCUUUAGUGCCGUAGCCACAAGGCAC